AUUGAACGCUGGCGGCAUGCUUUACACAUGCAAGUCGAACGGUAACAGGUUAAGCUGACGAGUGGCGAACGGGUGAGUAAUGCAUCGGAACGUGCCCAGUCGUGGGGGAUAACGCAGCGAAAGCUGUGCUAAUACCGCAUACGAUCUCUGGAUGAAAGCGGGGGACCGAAAGGCCUCGCGCGAUUGGAGCGGCCGAUGUCAGAUUAGGUAGUUGGUGGGGUAAAGGCCCACCAAGCCAACGAUCUGUAGCUGGUCUGAGAGGACGACCAGCCACACUGAGACUGAGACACGGCCCAGACUCCUACGGGAGGUAGCAGUGGGGAAUUUUGGACAAUGGGGGUAACCCUGAUCCAGCAAUGCCGCGUGCAGGAAGAAGGCCUUCGGGUUGUAAACUGCUUUUGUACGGAACGAAAAGCUCUGGGCUAAUACCUUGGGGUCAUGACGGUACCGUAAGAAUAAGCACCGGCUAACUACGUGCCAGCCGCCGCAGUAA
rnacentral:rRNA from 1 species